CUGUUCGGAGUAGCCGCGCCUUGGUGCUGCAGAGGACGCCGAAGUCGGAACUACGCGCGGAGGAACACCAGCCUUCGGAGCGCGCGCGCGCGCGUUGAAAGCUGCGAUCGAGCAGCCAUUUGCCAGCGACGGCACAUUCUUCUACCGUGGUUGAUGUUUCUCACUGCUUUGAACCCCCAAGACUCCACGGACUGCGGCUGCGGUCGUUUCAUUGCCAACUGUGAGGAUGAAGCAGCUUCAUGGCCGGCGAUCGGGCGCCUCCCAUCAGUUUCCCUUUUCAGCAAUAGAGGCCUUGGAGGCCAUUCUACCUGCGUUGCAUCCUGUGGCUGGACCACUCCAACGAUCUCGGUAAAAUCGUUACACAGGAAGAACUCUGGCUGGCCCCAAGCCUGGUGCAAAAUGAAGAAAUGGCACUCCACAUCAAUUCAUGUUUACUUGUCGUCAUAGCCAGUCUGUUAGCUUAAUUUUUCGUUCUUCCUAUUGAAUUGUCAAGAAAGGUACCAACUCUGUCAUUCAUUGAAAACAAAUUUUUGCAGUUGGGGAUGCAGCCAUGCACAAAGCCUUUGAGCUCAUUAAUAUCUUUAUUUUUUAAAGAAAGUGCAGCUCGUGCGUGGAGCAAUAGGUUGAAUAAGACGAGGGUAAAUGAAAAGAUGGCGAAAUUAUUCAUCAACAGUGGUCCAACAAAGGAAGUCUCAAGCUGGAGCCAACAUCUUUGCAAGAGAACCAAAUGGCUCCAGCCUGAGACAUUCGUUGUUCAACCUGGCAAGUCUCCUGAAAAUAUUUCCUCUAGCCUGAGACCUAGAUAUCCAUUCCACCACCCUUGACCAACAAUACACCUAUACAUUUGGCAACCCAUGGAAAGGUAGCAAAUUCACAUUCAAAGAAAGGGAAUGUAGUGUGCACCCUGGAAGGUAGCAUGAACAGUAUUUUAUUUACCUAAUGAAAUGCAGAUUUGCUAUCCAAUUACUUUAUUUUGAUCCCCAUUUUAUAAUUGGACAGCAUGGUUCCUCAGAGAAAAUAAUAAUUCGAAGCUCACACAAUUUUGCUCCUUUAUGUCCGUUAAAUCUGUCCUGGUUGCUACACUAUCAGCCCUGUCUGCAAUUGCAUAGCAGUGUUUUGAGUAUGCAUCCAAAUUCAAAAGAAUAGUUAGGCUUCUACCUCAGAAUGUCUGUUACUGCGUUGCAGCUCGAAUUCUAUAUCUAGGUGGUCACUGUGAUGCCAUGUGCUUAAAUAAGAGCAAUAUGCUAUUUGAAGGGCAAUUAAAUGCAAUCUCAAAUGACCUCAGCUCGGGGAAUGACACAAUUGGAGGUCAAUGUGACAGGGAGGAUUUGAUUUCUGAAAACAAGGCACUUAAACAUGAGAAAGCAUGACUAAUUUCGUCUAAAGAUGCUGCUAUUGGAUAUGAUCAGGGAAGGUGCUUGUUCGUGGCUGCACUUGCAACAUGUUACAUGUUACACGAAGGUAUUUCGCCCUCGUCAGCAGCAGUCCUUGGUAUAGUUAUUCUGGCGGCUAGCUUCCCACGCUAUGCGUGCCGCCAUCGCACCUGGUUAAGCUUUUCCUAGACGCUAGAGUUGUGCUUUGUCCGCGCAACCUUGAGCGAUCGGAAAGCGCGUUUUCCCCUCUUGGCCGGCGGAGAGGGGAGGCUUCGUUCCGGCCGCGAAGCUCUCCACAUCUCUGUAAGGUGCCUUGUGGUGGUCUCGUGCUGACGAUGCCCUCUCGGUGAGCGCAUAUUUCCCCCCUCAUCUUUUAAGAGGUUCAAUACAUACAAGCAUUUGUCUCGCAAACCAGAUUUUUUUUCAAGGGAAUUUUCCACGUCUCAGUAAUUUCUCUCGUCGUAUUCGAGUGCUGAUUGCCGUGUUAUAGUUUGUUAACGAAGCUUUCCCUCAAGUCUAAAUAUUUUAAGGCAGUUUUCCUAGCCUCUAAAGCUGCUCGAGUUCGCUCUUCUCCUUGAACGGCCAUUUUUCCUAGAAAGUAUGCCUUCCAACUACUCUGCCCUUAAACUGGCUCUCUCAACUACUACACGCAGAGACAAAGCCGACUAUCGCGGACAACGUGAGUCUCUUUCCACGUAAGUGUGAGGCUCGGACGAGGAGCUGUGGCGCUUGAAAGUAGCCUGGGGCCUGACGAACCAACCGACUGAGCUAUCUUUCCGGGCAACAUCGAAGGGUCACGAGUUCAAAUCACCUGUUAUGUUCCGUUUUUUUUUGUUCGCCCCUUUUUCUUUCUUCUUUUUUCUUUCUUUUAAUGUCUUUGCCUUUAUCUUAUCACUGUACGGGAACCCUCCUAAAAAAAAAAAGAAAGAUAUAUAUCUUCAAAUAUGUAUGGGCUCACAUGUGCAGGUCAUAAAUACCACGUUCUCUAGCCGAGUGCCAUCCAUGCGGUAUAACCGAGCUCAGAUUGGUCCACCUUGACUGAUCAAAUAGGGCACCACUGUAGGUUAAAUGAGGCGUACAACUCCUGCGGGACCCGCCGUGGUUGCUCAGUGGUUAUGGUGUUAGACUGCUGAGCACGAGGUCGCGGGAUCGGACCCCGACCACGGCGGCUGCAUUUCGAUGGGGGCGAAAUGCGAAAACACCCGUGUACUUAGAAUUAGGUGCACGUUAAAGAACCCCAGGUGGUCGAAAUUUUCGGAGUCCUCCACUACGGCGUGCAUAAUCAGAAAGUGGUUUUGUCACGUAAAACCCCAUAAGUUAAUUUUUAAUUUAACUCCUACGGGGACGGUAGAGUAUCCGUCUCCAGUGCAAGAGGACCGUGAUCCAAAUCCCGGUGCCGCGCAAUUCUCCACCGGAAAAUAAAAAAAAAAAAACCGUGUGUUGAGAAAAUUGCACAAACAGGCCUGGAGUGCGGCCUGAUCCCGGUGACCAGAACCGGUAACGCACUCUCUCACCAGAGCAGGAUUGGCCACCCUGGUGCAGUACUUGGCCACAACCUCCUAUAUGAAUACAACAAUCGAACCCCGGCCCUCAGUCCCCAGCAGCCGCGAAGCAACUGACCACGGCGGCGGUCAGAUCUGUGACGCUGCAGAGGGUGCUAAGAAUACCUGGCUCCGGACAGGCCGCCAUUGGAAUCUGAACCUGGCAACGUUUAACGUUAGAACGCUAUCUAGUGAGGCGAGUCUAGCAGUGUUAUUGGAGGAAUUAGAGGGUAGUAAAUGGGAUAUAAUAGGGCUCAGUGAGGUUAGGAGGACAAAAGAAGCAUAUACAGUGCUAAAAAGCGGGCAUGUACUGUGUUACCGGGGCUUAGCGGAGAGACGAGAACUAGGAGUCGGAUUCCUGAUUAAUAAGGAAAUAGCUGGUAACAUACAGGAAUUCUAUAGCAUUAACGAGAGGGUGGCAUGUCUUGUUGUGAAACCUAAUAAG